rnacentral:rRNA from 1 species
UACGAAGGGUCCUAGCGUUGUUCGGAAUCAUUGGGCGUAAAGCGGGUGUAGGCGGCCAAUUAAGUCAGAAGUGAAAGCCCUGGGCUCAACCCGGGAAGUGCUUUUGAAACUGAUUGGCUUGAGUGUGGGAGAGGAUAGUAGAAUUCCUGGUGUAGUGGUGAAAUACGUAGAUAUCAGGAGGAAUACCGGUGGCGAAGGCGGCUAUCUGGCCCAACACUGACGCUCAGACCCGAAAGCGUGGGGAGCAAACAGG